UUGCGGUUAAAAAGCUCGUAGUUGAAUCUCAGUUCCAGACAGGCGGUCCGCUCCGGUGGUUACUGCCUGGCCUGAACAUCCUGACGGUUUUCCUUCUGUGCUCUUGACUGAGUGUCGUAGGUGCCCGUCACGUUUACUUUGAAAAAAUUGGAGUGCUCAAAGCAGGCGUUCCGCCUGAAUAAUGGUGCAUGGAAUAAUGAAAGAGGACUUCGAGUUCUAUUGUGUUGGUUUUCGGAACACGAGGUAAUGAUUAAAAGGGACAGACGGGGGCAUUCGUAUUGCGACGCUAGAGGUGAAAUUCUUGGACCGUCGCAAGACGAACUACAGCGAAAGCAUUUGCCAAGAAUGUUUUCAUUAAUCAAGAACGAAAGUUAGAGGUUCGAAGGCGAUCAGAUACCGCCCUAGUUCUAACCAUAAACGAUGCCAACCAGCGAUCCGCCUGAGUUACUCAAUUGACUCGGCGGGCAGCUUCCGGGAAACCAAAGUUUGUGGGUUCCGGGGGAAGUAUGGUUGCAAAGCUGAAACUUAAAGGAAUUGACGGAAGGGCACCACCAGGAGUGGAGCCUGCGGCUUAAUUUGACUCAACACGGGAAAACUUACCCGGCCCGGACACCGGAAGGAUUGACAGAUUAAGAGCUCUUUCUUGAUUCGGUGGGUGGUGGUGCAUGGCCGUUCUUAGUUGGUGGAGCGAUUUGUCUGGUUAAUUCCGAUAACGAACGAGACUCUAGCCUACUAAAUAGGCGACCGAUCACUUGUGUCGGUCUUCCUUCUUAGAGGGACAAGCGGCGUUUAGCCGCACGAGACAGAGCAAUAACAGGUCUGUGAUGCCCUUAGAUGUCCGGGGCCGCACGCGCGCUACACUGAAGGAAUCAGCGUGUGUUUACCCCUGUCCGGCAGGACUGGGUAACCCGAUGAACCUCCUUCGUGAUAGGGAUAGGAGCUUGUAAUUGUUCUCCUUGAACGAGGAAUUCCCAGUAAGCGCGAGUCAUAAGCUCGUGUUGAUUACGUCCCUGCCCUUUGUACACACCGCCCGUCGCUACUACCGAUUGAAUGAUUUAGUGAGGUCUUCGGACUGGUGCUCGGAGCGGCUCUCGGGUCGCACCGCCGUACCGGAAAGAUGACCAAACUUGAUCAUUUAGAGGAAGUAAAAGUCGUAACAAGGUUUCC
rnacentral:rRNA from 1 species